rnacentral:lncRNA from 1 species
AGGCAGUAUAGUAGCGUUGUAAAGUUUAAAUUACCUAAUUCAUGUAAAGACUUUAGUGCAGUGCUUGGCACAGAGUAACUGUUCAAUAUGUAUUCACUAUUAUUAUUAAAGAUAAGUGCUACAGCUUGUUCAUCUUUCUGUCUUCAGCAGUUCCUCCAGCUUCAUCUCUUCCUGCACCCCUCUUCUCCUUCCAGGGCUUAGCCCAGAACCUUGCACAGACUAAGUAAUUGCUAAAUUCUUCUGGAGCAAAUGCUGAAAACAUCAGACAGUUUUUAUAUAAAACAUUUAAUUCAGUCUGAGUAGGAACAGUUCAUGUUUGUAUGAGACACCAACAAACGAAUGCUUAUGGGAUGUCCCUGCAAGAUAUAUCAAUGGAACAUCCUGUCUGAGCACCAAAGAGCAGCCCCUUUCAGUAUUGUCUGAACAAGCUGGCCUUACUAGGAGUGGUGAAAGAGAAGGGGGAGGUUUCAUAUCCUAAGGAAGUGUUUGGAACUUAAUGAGAAGUGUAGGCUGAGAAAAUGACCCUGCUCUUUGAAAAUCAAAUGCAGCUACUGAAUGUGAGGCUUACACACAGCCAAGGCCAUGUGUGAGCAACAGGGGCCAGAGUUUUGCAAAAUCUUUUUCCUGGCCUGUGGUGAAUUUUGAAUCAAACCCACUCAGCAUUUUGCUCUCUAUAGACACAGCACAUUUUUUCUCUAAAUCCUCACUCUCAGCAUGCUUACUAACCAACAUUCCUGAUAAAAACCAAUGAAACCAAAUGAAUUAUUUCGGAUGAGAUAUGAAGUUGGUCUUCCCCCCAUGUCUUGCUCCAGUACCACAACUGUUUAUGCUACACUUUACAUUCCUUGAAACUACCAAUAUUCCAAAGUUAUAUUCCUCAGAUUCCAUAUUUUUUUCUGUUCUAGAAAAACAAAAACACCACAUUUUAUGACAUACCUGUUCUAAUGUUAUCAGUAAGAUUCUCAUAAAGGUGAAAGGUUUUCAAGUCCAAAUUUUGUUUUUUUAACUCUUCCUGAAUUAUAUCUUGCAUAGCUGCAAAUCCAUCAAAAUGCUCAAACGAUUCUAUACAUGUUUCCAAGUUUACUUAUGAAUUUGAGAACAGUUUAGACUUUUGCUGCUUUAAGCUAACUAUUUUAGGAAUGUGGAGCUUUAUCAUUCAGAGAUGAUAAAAAUGGAAUUUUCCUUUAGCCUCACAGCACACACAACUCAAUGGUAUUUCUGAGAUCUGAUUGUUUCCAAGCAGCAAGCCAUGUA